rnacentral:rRNA from 1 species
AUUGAACGCUGGCGGCAUGCUUUACACAUGCAAGUCGAACGGCAGCGCGGGCUUCGGCCUGGCGGCGAGUGGCGAACGGGUGAGUAAUGCAUCGGAACGUGCCCAGUAGUGGGGGAUAGCCCGGCGAAAGCCGGAUUAAUACCGCAUACGACCUGAGGGUGAAAGCGGGGGACCGAAAGGCCUCGCGCUAUUGGAGCGGCCGAUGUCGGAUUAGCUAGUUGGUGGGGUAAAGGCUUACCAAGGCGACGAUCCGUAGCUGGUCUGAGAGGACGACCAGCCACACUGGGACUGAGACACGGCCCAGACUCCUACGGGAGGCAGCAGUGGGGAAUGUUGGACAAUGGGGGCAACCCUGAUCCAGCCAUGCCGCGGGGGGGAAGACGGCCUUCGGGUUGUAAAGCGCGUUUGUUGGGGAAGAAAUCCUCUGGGCUAAUACCCCGGGGGGAUGACGGUACCGGAAGAAUAAGCACCGGCUAACUACGUG